CCCUUAGAUGUUCUGGGCCGCACGCGUGCUACACUGAUUCAUGCAACAAGUUUUGUCCUUGGCUGAUAGGCCUGGGUAAUCUUUGAACGUGAAUCGUGAUGGGGAUAGAUGAUUGCAAUUAUUCAUCUUCAACGAGGAAUUCCUAGUAAACGCAAGUCAUCAGCUUGCAUUGAUUACGUCCCUGCCCUUUGUACACACCGCCCGUCGCACCUACCGAUUGAAUGGUCCGGUGAAAUCUUCGGAUCUGAGAGAUGUCUGAUUAAUUUCGGACGCCUUUUGGAAAAGUUGCUUAAACCUUACCAUUUAGAGGAAGGUGAAGUCGUAACA
rnacentral:rRNA from 1 species